UUCGUAGAGUCAGGUGAUAGUGGGCGGGACUUAGCUUCUGGUGAAGUUGCCGCCUAUCUCGCCCGUUCCUUUUGCAGCCUCUGCCAUGCCAUGGGUCGGGGUGUUUCUGGGGCUCUUCCUUCUAGGCCGCCCGUCUGGGUGUUUGGACGGCACUUCAGCUCGCGAAGAUUGUCUAAUUGUCCACGUGGCUGAGCCCGAAGGCAGCUCGGUGAACACCUCCAUACCAAAUGCCACCUACGUUUCAGAGACGUCUUUCUUCGUGCAGAAAUAUAACACCUCCAGUUCGUCGUGGCAAGAUGUCAUUUACUCCUCUAAUGAGGGCUCCCAAACAGUCCUCAGUUCCUUCAAGGAGACACUCUCCUUUUCUGGUGGAUACUUCAAGAUGGAGAACGUGAGCAAAGGGGCUGACGGAGUUUACAGGAUUCAGGAUGAAAUGUACAGGAAGUGUGUGGCUGUCGUAAACUUUACUGUGGUGGGCGGCUCGUUAACAUACCGCUGGCUCUGUCUGACUGCGGGAUCAGGAACAAACAUUCAUGAAGGGUCUGCGCUGAAAUCCCUGGGAAAUACGUGAGCCCAGCUCAUUCCCACCUACUGUGUCUGGGACCUCUGGUGCUGAGGAGGAAGCUCGUGAUGAGGCCAAAGGGGAUGAGCCAGCGUCCUGGAAUCGUCUCAUGGUGCGUGGAGUGGUGGCAGUGGUGGGGGUGCUAGUCUUACUAUACCUAUGUGGGUUUUGGAAAGGUAGAGGGAAAGCGUUUGCCUACUCGCGACUCGUCUUCAGGAAGCUGCUGACUCAUCCCUCCCAGCAGCCUGAAAGUCUGCAGGAUUCACAGGAAUCUGAGCUCCCUGCAGUGUGUGACAGGGAGGGGGACCAGGCCCAGGGAACCAGAAACAGGAAUCGAGACCCAGCCCUGGAGAAUGGUGAAGGAGACCUGCUCAUGGAGGACAGACGCUUCACCCAGGAACCCAGAGAAAGGGCUCCAUUAGGUGGGGACACGGGUGUGUCCCAGGAAAUUGGAGUAGCAUUGCCAAUCCUCCAGGAUGACCGGGAGUCUGCAGGAAUUAAAGAUUAAUUUUUAAUUAAA